UCUCUCAGAGGCUAGUAUAUCGGCGAGUACACGCGCCUGUCAUCUCACUCGUCUUUGUGUCCGCGCGCGCGCGCGCGAAAGCUGGGUUCGACUCCCAGGCAGAGAG